GACACUUUGGCCGAGUGGUUAAGGCGGCGGACUGCUAAGCCGUUGGGCUCUGCCCGCGAGGGUUCGA
rnacentral:tRNA from 1 species